rnacentral:tRNA from 3 species
GGGUCGCUAGCUCAACUGGCAGAGCAAUCGGCUCUUAACCGAUAGGUUCAGGGUUCAAGUCCCUGGCGACCCA